UACGUAGGGUGCAAGCGUUAAUCGGAAUUACUGGGCGUAAAGCGUGCGCAGGCGGUUUUGUAAGUCUGUCGUGAAAGCCCCCGGGCUCAACCUGGGAAUUGCGAUGGAGACUGCAAGGCUUGAAUCUGGCAGAGGGGGGGUAGAAUUCCACGUGUAGCAGUGAAAUGCGUAGAGAUGUGGAGGAACACCGAUGGCGAAGGCAGCCCCCUGGGGUCAAGAUUGACGCUCAUGCACGAAAAGCGUGGGGAGCAAACAGG
rnacentral:rRNA from 1 species